GGGGGGGGGGGGGGGGGGGCGGAGGGGGGGGGGGGCGGGGGGGGGGGCGCGGCGGUGGUGGGGGGCUCGAGUGGCGAACGGGUGAGUAACACGUGAGUAACCUGCCCUUGACUUUGGGAUAACUUCAGGAAACUGGGGCUAAUACCGGAUAGGAGCUCCUGCUGCAUGGUGGGGGUUGGAAAGCUUCGGCGGUUGGGGAUGGACUCGCGGCUUAUCAGCUUGUUGGUGGGGUAGUGGCUUACCAAGGCUUUGACGGGUAGCCGGCCUGAGAGGGUGACCGGCCACAUUGGGACUGAGAUACGGCCCAGACUCCUACGGGAGGCAGCAGUGGGGAAUAUUGCACAAUGGGCGGAAGCCUGAUGCAGCAACGCCGCGUGCGGGAUGACGGCCUUCGGGUUGUAAACCGCUUUCGCCUGUGACGAAGCGUGAGUGACGGUAAUGGGUAAAGAAGCACCGGCUAACUACGUG
rnacentral:rRNA from 1 species